CAGGGAGAACCUCUAAAGAACCACUCCAGAGGAGUACAGCUCAAGACACCCUGCAAAUCCCAGACUGGCCUCACAAGGACUAAACAAUCACGGUGCCAGCAUGAAGAAGGUGUCUAUAACUACUGGAUCAAGCCCAGACUCCACCGAGGGAUUUACAAUAUUUGUGGCCCUUCAAAAUGUGUCUCCUCUUAAGUUCA